rnacentral:tRNA from 1 species
UCCCGGUUAGCUCAGUUGGUAGAGCGCUUCUCUGGAAAUAGAGAGGUCGCCGCUUCGAUACCAGGACCGGGCG